GAGGACUCGGAGCCACUAGUUUACCAGUUGUCCGGCAGGGCAAUGCUGGGUAGCCACGCUCCAGUGGAUAAGAGCUGAAAGCAUCUAAGCUCGAAACCCGCCUCAAAACGAGGCAUUUUGACACUUAUAGAAGAUAAGAUUGAUAGGACCGGGGUGUAAGCACCGAGAGCUAUAGUGUUGUUGGAAGUACUACUUCGGUAGUGCGGAAGAUAACAUUUCGAGGUGUUAAGCCCGUCGGUUACUAAUAGUCAAAACUGCUAAUACG
rnacentral:ncRNA from 1 species